rnacentral:rRNA from 1 species
GAUGAACGCUGGCUGUGUGCCUAAUACAUGCAUGUCGAACGAAGCACUUGUGCUUAGUGGCGAAUGGGUGAGUAACACGUACUUAAUCUACCUCUAGGUUUGGGACAACAUUUAGAAAUGAAUGCUAAUACCGAAUAUUCCUUUUCCUCGCAUGGGGAACUGGUAAAAGGCCCGUUUGGGUCGCCAAGAGAUGAGAGUGCGGUACAUUAGUUAGUUGGUAGGGUAAUGGCCUACCAAGACGAUGAUGUAUAGCGGGGUUGAGAAGCUGAACCGCCACACUGGGACUGAGAUACGGCCCAGACUCCUACGGGAGGCAGCAGUAGGGAAUAUUCCACAAUGAGCGAAAGCUUGAUGGAGCGACACAGCGUGCAGGAUGAAGGCCUUCGGUGUUAAGUAACUCGUCGUUGUUAAGGUAAGGAAAACGAAACGUGUAGGAAAUGACAUCGGCUUGACGGUACCUUGUCAGAAAGCACCGGCAAACUAUGUGCCAGCCGCCGCCGUAC